rnacentral:tRNA from 9 species
GGACUCUUAGCUCAGCUGGCAGAGCAACUGACUCUUAAUCAGUGGGUCUGGGGUUCGAAUCCCCAAGAGUCCACCA